rnacentral:sRNA from 1 species
AUGGAUGGUUUACUGCAUUAUGUAUCUGUAAUAAGCGACAACUCUGGACUACGGCUUCUCAUCGAUGACCAGCCUCUGAGAAAUAACAAAAGGCUAAAACACAUUUCAAGUUCCCGGCAGUCUCUGCGUCUGGGCGGGAGCAAUUUUGAGGGUUGUAUUAGCAAUGUUUUUGUCCAGAGGUAGGUGAUCCUCUCUUUGUGGGUAACUGAUGAGAACGGCCUGCCCAUGGGAAGGGUAUCUCUUUGGUCCAGUUAACAAAGUCAGCUUUGUCAACAUGUGCUGCAUGAGACCCGCAUACCACAGUCUUUCAAAAUGCCAUCUUUGGCAAGAUACACCCAUUAAAAAACCCAUAAAAAACUCCUGGGCCCGGCCUCCUUUUGGAGGAGCAGCGUUAGCAUGUAACCUUGGAAAAGGCCUAAUUAAAAUUAACUUCAGAUUAUGGCCCUGAAAAGUAUUCACUGAAAUUUUAUGC